CUUACUCUGUCAUCUGGAAUGACACGGAUUCAGGGCGUGUAAAAAGCGUGUCCUUUAAUUUAUGGCGACAUAAACAAACCUGAGCAGCCUGGACUGAAAAUCAGAGAUGAAGGUGAUAGGAGAGAAGCGUUGGCGUGGAUAAUGCUGUUAACAUCCUUUUACCUCCUGUGACGGGGCUCCGGGAGGGAUGGCUUCGGCACGCGGGGUCUUUGCAACAUGUUCUGCUCACAUUAAAACUGUAGAAAUAGCAGUCGUUGUUUACUUCCUGCAUUGGAAGAGGGCGUUUUUAAGAGCCGAAGGAAAGCACUUCACUGGCAAGGAUUGGAGAAUAAGAAGUCAGUCUACAUUCAGAAAAGCGUAUAUAGCAGGCACGGAGCUCUAAAGCUGCAUCCCAUGAACCCUGUCCUUUAAGAGCUUAGAGUCUCCUGGAAAACCUAAGAUGGGAGCAUAAAUAGCUGUGAGAUAAAGUGAAAAGGAGGCGCUACAGGAAAGGAACCCCAGAAAGUGGUCCACUGCCAGAAUGAUGACGACUCCUGGAACUUUCUCUGAUUCUUAUUCUCCCUCCUACCUUGCUCAUCAUCUUAUGUAUUCAGCUACGAUGCUUCACCCAGACCAUUGCACAUCACAUCAGAGAGGAAGACACAUGUGUGAUUCAUUUUCUUAAGCCUCAAGUCUAAGGAUUUACCUAAGGACCCAGGAAUGUCAUGAGGUCCUGUUUCCUCCUUUUACUUAAAAAAGUCACCUUCCUGUGAAAUAACCUGCUAUUUUGCCAAACCGGUCUGUCAGUAUAAGGAAGCCUGGGAAUGCCUUAGCGGACCUGUAGAAAUCAUUGUGCAUCCGUGAGGAGGGUGUCGGAACCACACGGCUCUGAGGGCAUGGGGAGAAAACAUUCUGUGAACCGUCUGGACUCCAAAGCUUGAAGAAAAGUUUCUCAACAGCCUGCAUCUGCUACCAAAGUUUUCAUGUUGCACGAGCCAGUAUUAAACGUCAGUGAAUUACAGCUUUUUGGUGCAUUAACCUUAACUUUAAGACAUUUACCAAAGGAGUUCUAAUCACUGGAGCCCAGGGGAAACAUUAGUAUUAUAAUCUAUACUGCAGCCCAGUAUUGAAAACUUUAUUAGCAUGCGGGAUGAUAUAUCAAGAUCUCUAAAAAAAAAUGAAUCAUUUUCGCAAUUUGUCUUUGCAACCAUUAAAACUUUCUAUAAACAUAGAUCUAUGCAUCCAAUAAAGAGCAUCCAAUAUGA